rnacentral:tRNA from 1 species
AGCGUUCGCUUCACACGCGAGAGG